CAAAACAAAAUUAAGUGAAUGAGAUAAACAUUUUAAUCAAAAUAAACUUAGCUUGAAAUAAGUCCUGUCAUUUCUUUGAAAGGCCAGUACAAUUUAUGGGAUGGAAGCAAUUAUCUUCAGUACAUGACACUCAUGGGCAGGGAGUGGCCACCAAGCAAAACUCCAUUCAAGAUUUUGCCAUUUUGCUGUAAUGCUUCUAUGAAACAGCGAAUGCACUCCUAAAUGUAGCAUCUUAUUCAUUAAGGUCCGCCACUCAAAUCGGCAUAAACUUGAUCUAGCAAGCAGCACUUGAUUCAAUUAAAAUUUCAACUUUCUUAACUAACAUCAGGGGCACUUUGGACCAACUACGCUAGUGCGAAGCGAUUUUAAGAGGAUUGAUUCAAGUCAAAUAAAUUGCUGCUUAGUACUGUAUACCGAAUACUCCAACAGAAGGUUGUAAUUCGGAAGAAGUCUUAACUUUUAUUCUUUCGAUAAUUAAAUUGGAUUAUCAGCAAGGCAACUCCAAAUUUGACUGAUUAGUAAACGGAGUCUGGGACUGAGAUUUUGUCCUUUAAAGAAAAAAGGAAAUCAUGACUAGAAAUGUAAUACAAAUGCAAUUUCUAGUUCCAUUCAUUACAAAUGCACAAAUCACAAGCACAAACACUACAUUUACCAGGGGAACUGACCGUGGAGGAUUCAGUUGAACGUAACAAGCGACAACAUGAAUAGGGCGGACUAUCAAUGCGGAAAUACAGGAUUAACACUCAGAGCUAGCCAUCACAAAGCACGAAUACCUGCUGUAACUCAUUAAUUUCAGCGAGGGGUAUUCAUUCAUAGAUUAUAAUUCCAUCCCUUCCAUCCCCCAGGUUAAAGCACUUGAAGGCACCAUAAAAGCUCAUCUGACUUCACCGUGACACAUUGCGAUACUUUCACGGACACUGCCCCAUAUAUGGCAAAGAAGAGGUAGAAGGCGUCUUGUGCUUUCUUUCCUCCUCCACAUAAAGUCCUGGACUCAGCGCAGCUUUUAUUUUGAAAUCAGUCAUCCGGGUCCCUGCAGGCCAAGCAAGCUCGCGCUGACUCGGACCGUAGCCCAGUGACGUCGCGAGACAUCAAGCCAGUCACAAGUCAUGCGAGAUUAUACCGGCAGUUAAGAGAAUUUUACUUCAGAAUAAAACAUUACCAUUG